rnacentral:rRNA from 1 species
GCCCAGACUCCUACGGGAGGCAGCAGUGGGGAAUAUUGGACAAUGGGGGGAACCCUGAUCCAGCCAUGCCGCGUGUGUGAAGAAGGCCUUAUGGUUGUAAAGCACUUUAAGCGAGGAGGAGGCUACUUUAGUUAAUACCUAGAGAUAGUGGACGUUACUCGCAGAAUAAGCACCGGCUAACUCUGUGCCAGCAGCCGCGGUAAUACAGAGGGUGCGAGCGUUAAUCGGAUUUACUGGGCGUAAAGCGUGCGUAGGCGGCUUAUUAAGUCG